CAGACUCUAUUAAAUUCU
rnacentral:snRNA from 1 species